UACGUAGGGGGCAAGCGUUGUCCGGAAUCAUUGGGCGUAAAGAGCGUGUAGGCGGCCUGGUAAGUCCGCUGUGAAAGUCCAGGGCUCAACCCUGGGAUGCCGGUCGAUACUGCCGGACUAGAGUUCGGAAGAGGAGAGUGGAAUUCCCGGUGUAGCGGUGAAAUGCGAAGAUAUCGGGAGGAACACCUAUGGCGAAGGCAGCUCGCUGGGACGUUACUGACGCUGAGACGCGAAAGCGUGGGGAGCAAACAGG
rnacentral:rRNA from 1 species